GUUGGGCAGGCAGACUCAGCCAAAAGCUCGGUGGGAGAUGGGGUGAGGGCCCUAGGCUCAGGCUUCUCUGCCCAUAUUCUUUGGGGAGCUGGCCCUAAGCUACCUUGCUUACCUGGGUCAGAAAUAACCUCAGCGCAACUGAAAGCCUAGAGCAAUCAGGAUGAGGGCAGAGCUUUGAGCUCCUGGAGUUGGUGGGCGUUUGCCCAGGAGCCAGGUCAGGGGCAGCCACUUAGCCGGGGCCUUGGGUAAAGCCCCCUCCCCUCCAAGCCUGUUGCCUUGUUUGUUUAAUGGACAUCAUAGUGCCCUGUAGGAGUAUGUCCACUUUGUAGGCAUAUUCUGAACAGGUAGGAUGUUGUGGCUCCCUGUCCCUCCCCUUCCAGGAGGCCGCUUCAUCAGAGAACCCGGGGAGGUGUCUGGGUGGAGAACGUGCUCAUUCCAUGCCGGUUGCAGCGCAUUGCUCAGGAAAGCCUGUGACAUCGCAGAAAAGCAGCCUUGGGUCUUGAAUGAGUUUGGGGCCUGUCCCUGAUGGCCUGGCCUCUGCAGAGAUGUCUGGAGGGGAUGACUUCUCCCCACCUCCUGGGAUUCACAUGGGGCCACUCCCCAUCCACUGGCUUUAGAGGCAGCCAUGUGUCCCAAGCUGGACACUGAGACUCCGUCUUGGGACGCUUGCAGCAACUAUGGGAAAAGAGGCAUUCACUUUUCAUGGGAGUUGCCACGUUGAUGGAACUCCUGCUCUCCACUUGAGGACGGAGCCAAGUGGUAGAGAAAGUAUGCUGUCCCCAGACCUCAGUAAGCCCCUGGAUCCAGCCAUGCCUGAAGCUAACCACACCUCUGGACUAACCUGAUUAUAUGAGCCAAUGAAUGCAUUUCUUUUUUUCUAAAACUAUCCUGAGUUGGAUUUCUGUCAUAGAAAGGGUCCUAAUAAAGCUAUGUUUUUCUUUGGUCUCACUUAAGAAAUCAACUUUGAGGUAUCCACCCACUUUAAGUGUCUAAUUCAUAAAUUUUUUCAAAUGUGUACAGCCUUGUAACUACCACCCCAGUCAAGCUGUAGAACAUUUCAAGUUCCCUCAUUCCCCUUUAUGGUCAGUUCUCCUGACCCCAAGCAACCACUGACCUGCCUUUGUCCUAGAGCUUCAUUCAGUCUCCUCUCUGGUCAGGUCCCUGGAGGUCAAAUGCUCAUGUUGUGGGUCAAUGUGGGUCAUUUCCCUUGGGACUCAGAGUCACCCCCUGGGUCCAAAUGUGCUGAAGCCAGAGGCACCUCUGGGUCCCACAGUUCUGUGGUCCAGUACAUCCUUUGCUUCAUUUGAGCCGGCUUGCCACAGAAGGAGUCCUGGCUAAUACAGCUCAGCCAGGACCGCACCCUUCAGUGAAGCUCCCCCUCAAGGACCGCCCCCCAGGCAAAUUCAACCAUCAGUCCAGCUCACCUCCUGGGGGCUAGACACUAGUAAGUGCUUUACAUGCAUUACCUCAAGUCCUCUCAGCAACGCUAGGGGAGGUACUGUUAUCCCCAUUUUACUGGGCUGUGGGUCUUGUGUGCCUCUACAGCUCCUCUG